AUUACAUGUUAUUUCAGUGAGAUACAAGAGAAAGAAGUAGGUUGUGGCUACACCUGGCAAUUCUGACAGCACAAUCUUUAGCGCCACUAGAUACACCUGAGGAGUUUCUUGGUUGUCUGCUCUAGGAGAACAUUCACACAACUCAGCAUCAGGUGACAGAGGAAUGUGAGAUGGUCUCAAUCCGCCCCUGUGACGCUUCCCACCUCAGCUACCAGAGGCAUGGAGCUACGGGAACAGCUCUCCAGCUGCUUGUUCUGUGCCAUACUCCUAGCAACAAUUCCCUUUUCAGAAACCUCUGAGGAGAAAACUGAAAGCCUUGAGAAGAGCACUGAAAAAAUGGUUGAGGCUCACUUAGUCCUACAAAACAAGAUUCUCAUAGGCACGGUUGUUGUCCUCAUUGUUGUCAUCGUUAUCAUCGUUAUCAUCUUAAGUUGUCGUUGUUCAAGAAAAAGAAGGCGAGAUCCUGAAGAAGGUAACAAAAUUUUGCCAAGUAAUACACACAAACACACACACACAAACACAAAAGAUAAGCAGAAAAAAUACUAUUUGUGGUGAGUAUUAAUUUCCCAGACAAAUAUGUAACCAGUGA
rnacentral:lncRNA from 1 species